rnacentral:misc_RNA from 1 species
AACGCACGAGACCUGCGGACCUGCGGAAGGAUCAUUAUUGAAAUCCUUAGGAUGUUGCUGGCCUUUCGGGGCAUGUGCACUCCGCCUUUUCAUAUCACCUGUGAACUCAUUGUAGGCCAGAUGUUAACAGUCUGUGUCUAUGUUAUUUUUAUACACACAAGUCUAUUAGAAUGUCUAAUAAAGACCUUUUUUGGUCAAAAUUUAAUACAACUUUUAACAAUGGAUCUCUAGAUCGGAAGA